rnacentral:rRNA from 1 species
CCCUUAGAGUUUGAUCCUGGCUCAGGAUGAACGCUAGCUACAGGCUUAACACAUGCAAGUCGAGGGGAAACGAUAGAGAAAGCUUGCUUUUUCUAGGCGUCGACCGGCGCACGGGUAAGUAACGCGUAUCCAACCUGCCCAUCACUUGGGGAUAACCUUGCGAAAGUAAGACUAAUACCCAAUGAUAUCUCUAGAAGACAUCUGAAGGAGAUUAAAGAUUCAUCGGUGAUGGAUGGGGAUGCGUCUGAUUAGCUUGUUGGCGGGGUAACGGCCCACCAAGGCGACGAUCAGUAGGGGUUCUGAGAGGAAGGUCCCCCACAUUGGAACUGAGAUACGGUCCAAACUCCUACGGGAGGCAGCAGUGAGGAAUAUUGGUCAAUGGGCGAGAGCCUGAACCAGCCAAGUAGCGUGCAGGAUGACGGCCCUAUGGGUUGUAAACUGCUUUUAUAAGGGAAUAA